AUACGUAGGGGGCGAGCGUUGUCCGGAAUGAUUGGGCGUAAAGGGCGCGUAGGCGGCCUGUUAAGUCUGGAGUGAAAGUCCUGUUUUCAAGAUGGGAAUUGCUUUGGAUACUGAUGGGCUUGAGUGCAGGAGAGGUUAUCGGAAUUCCCGGUGUAGCGGUGAAAUGCGUAGAGAUCGGGAGGAACACCAGUGGCGAAGGCGGGUAACUGGACUGCAACUGACGCUGAGGCGCGAAAGUGUGGGGAGCAAACAGGAUUAGAUACUCUGGUAGUCCACACUGUAAACGAUGAAUGCUAGGUGUAGGGGGUAUCGACCCCUUCUGUGCCGCAGUCAACACAAUAAGCAUUCCGCCUGGGGAGUACGGCCGCAAGGUUGAAACUCAAAUGAAUUGACGGGG
rnacentral:rRNA from 1 species